AACAAAUUUAGCAGUAGUUUUUUUUAAAUGUAACACUAUGCAUUUGCUUAAAGUUGUAUUAUAUGGUAUUAUGAUUCUAUAUUAUAUUUGUAUUUGAGAAAAAAUAUUUUUAACUAAUAAAAAGUGAUGUUAAUAGCUGAACAGCCAUGUAAUAAUAACUCUUUGAAUACCAACACUUGUUUCCUCGACAUCAUAUACACUUCCAUGGAAAUAUUAAUUAAUUAAUUAAUCAAAUAAAGUGCUGGGACCCAGUUAGGUACUGAUAGUGAGGCAGACAGCUUUACUUGUGAAUCACAAGCAUAUUAAGCUGAAGUAAAACACAUGUGUGUGCGUGCAGGGUAAUGACAUGGAAGAAGAGGUCCGCAAUGAAUUAAUGGAAAUGAAACGGACUGUCACUAUUCAUCAUAAUGAAACGACUGGUUUGAUAUAAUAGUUCUGAUCAGGUAACUGAAGUUUUUGAGUUUAACCCCUCAAGCAAGGAAGUCCACCAUAAAUGAUCCUGUUUUUCAUUUCUUAGCAAAUGCAAUACAAAAAAACUGGCAACCAACCAACAAAAAUGACUACAAAAACACAUUAAAUGUUAAUAAUCAUGACUUUGCUCCCCCCCCCUCUUUUUUUUUUUUUUUUUUUUUUAACGAAAACGCUUAUUUGAAGGUAGGUAGGUAUUUGGGGAGGACAGGGGCCUGUUUACUACUAUGUUACAUCAUCCCUCCUUUUGACAACAUGCAGUAAGGCUCUGAGCUGCGGUGGCCAGUUGUGUUCUAGUUUUGAAAGUGAAAUCUUUUCCUAUUCUUCCUAUUUCAGUUUCUCAACAGUUCAAGGGCAUGCUUGUGUCAUAUCUUUUUGUUUCAUUAUGCAUCAAAUGAUCACAGUGGGUGACGGGUCUGGACUGCAGGCAGGCCAGCUGAGACUUGAAGUCUUUCACCACAGAGACAUGCUGCUGUUAUAUGUGGAGAAUGUAAUUUGGCAUUGCCUUGCUGAAAUAAGCAAACCUGUUGCUGAAAAUGGUGGAAUCGUUUGGCAAUAGUGAUUUAUCAUUAUGUCACUGCAUCCCAGUACCAGGUGGUAGCAAGCUGAAUGGGACCUCUCCACUUUGCGUGGGUUUGAGCUGUAGAAGGAAGCCAGAAUCACAGACGAGAGGAAAACAUGCAAAGUCCAGACAGAAAGACCCCAGCAAGAUGGAUUCAAACCCAGGACCUUCUUUGCUUUGAGGCAGUAAUUCCAAAUACAAUUAAUAUUGACAGUAGAUAUUGGAUAGCUUCCACUGCGCAGCUGUCAGUCUUCAGUGUAGUGCUGCCUCAGGAUAUGAAGCUGUGAAGAUUUUUAUUAUUAUUUAUUUAUUUAUUUGAGCGUUUUUGGCAUUCGCCUGCAGAGAUUUUUUUUUCAGAUUCUCUUAAUCCUUUAAUGAUAUUAUGUGCCACAGAUAAGGAAUUAUUUGCCAUUUUCCCAUUUCUACUUGAUAAUAUUACAGUCACAUUGUUGCAUUGUUCCUUACGCUGAAUUCACAGGCUGGUGAAGCACCCCCCCUCCUAGCUUUACUUCUAAAAGACUUGACGUCUGUAUGAUUUUUACACCCAGCCAUGUUUCUAAUUAACCUUGUUAGUUGUGAGAUAUUCCACCGGAUGUCAGAUUCUUUAUAAAAAACAAUGCAAUCCAUCAUUUUUACUUGUUUACACUCAUGUACAUAAGCUAUAAAAGUCUAAAUAUAAGAUCCUGCCAGUACAGCGUUUUGAAAUCAGUCUACAGAGCAUCACACCAGCUUAAGC
ensembl:lncRNA